ensembl:lncRNA
GAAAGAAAUCAGAAAGCACAAAGGAAAGCCCACUGUAGAAAAUAUCAGCGAGAAGUGCUAAGAUGAGCUGGGCAGAAAUGACUCUUUCUGUUUUCAUUUGAAAGGGAUAGGUCUUUCCUAUAGCACUGCUCUGUGGGUUUGGAUGUUAUGUUGUUCCUUUCCCUGGUAGCAGACAGUAACUGAGGAUUCCCUCAGCCCCAUAGAGACUUUUUCUGAUACGGUAGGGCUUACAGAGGCUGUGGCAGCAGAGCGACUCUCCCAGCUUGGAGGAGGCCAAGGGAACAUGAUGCAGAUGAGGCUCUGCUGGACCCCAGGGAUCACUGGCACUGUCCAGAGGGUGAUUAUGGACCACUGUUACUUAAAUAUGAAAUUCAGCUGUGCCAGUUUAUGCUGAGGACCAGACUUCGGACUGAUCAGAACAAUACUCAGGAGAAAUAAAAAGGACUAAUACUACAUUAACUUUCCUCCUUUGUUCACUGCAUGAGGCAUCUUCGAAUUCAAGGUUGAGGAGGUUUGUACAAAAGAGGCUCAAAGGUGGGGAAUGAAAAUGGCAUCUCUAAGCCUUGAAGCAGAGAUCUCUAUCAUGUCAAGAUCCUUCCCUAUGAAGUUCAGAGCCAAGCCUUGUCUUCAGGGGACACAGAGACUCCUGCUACACCACAGUCACAGCCCAGAGAAAAGUGACAGCAAACUCAAUGCUGUUCUCAGCUUAUCUGCCAAGACUGAUGUAAUGCUGAAGAAGCUGAAGUUCAAUGACAGAAGCAGAAAGGAAAAAUUGUUUCCUAUCUAAAAUCAAAUAAAUGAAGUAUGAAACUACCCACUCAUCUUGACUUUCAUGAAGAAGAUCAGCACACACAAAAAAAGCUGUAAUUCUUAUGUUCGCACAAAAAAUUACAGAGACCAUGACCUUACAGCACUUGCCUUUGCUCAUUGCUUGCCCUGUGCUCAACACAUUGCUGAGGGCCCUUCUUGCAGUUUGUGCAGCAUGGCAGGGAAGGUACAGCAGCUCCCAUGUCAACUGGGGAGAAGUAAAAUGUAAUGACAGCUCUGAUGAAACUGCAGUAGCAAAUGGCCGCUUGAACUGCCUCAAAGCUUGCGUGAAGAGAACAGCUCUGAAGAUCCACAGCUUCACGUGCAACUUCUUUGUUGUCAGACCAACAUGAUGUGACAUUUAUAAGGAAUCUUCUGGGAACUGGG